AAUAUAUAGCUUUAUAAAGUUUUUUAUUUACAUUAAAAAGGAAAUUGUUAAAUCAAUUUAUAUUGAA
rnacentral:tRNA from 1 species